rnacentral:rRNA from 1 species
AUUGAACGCUGGCGGCAUGCCUUACACAUGCAAGUCGAACGGUAACAGCUCUUCGGAGGCUGACGAGUGGCGAACGGGUGAGUAAUACAUCGGAACGUGCCCGAUCGUGGGGGAUAACGGAGCGAAAGCUUUGCUAAUACCGCAUACGAUCUACGGAUGAAAGCAGGGGACCCUCGGGCCUUGCGCGAACGGAGCGGCCGAUGGCAGAUUAGGUAGUUGGUGGGAUAAAAGCUUACCAAGCCGACGAUCUGUAGCUGGUCUGAGAGGACGACCAGCCACACUGGGACUGAGACACGGCCCAGACUCCUACGGGAGGCAGCAGUGGGGAAUUUUGGACAAUGGGCGAAAGCCUGAUCCAGCAAUGCCGCGUGCAGGAUGAAGGCCUUCGGGUUGUAAACUGCUUUUGUACGGAACGAAAAGUCUCGGGCUAAUACCCUGGGACCAUGACGGUACCGUAAGAAUAAGCACCGGCUAACUACGUGCCAGCCGCCGCCGUAA